rnacentral:rRNA from 1 species
AAGUCAGAGGUGAAAGCCAUCGGCUUAACCGAUGAAGUGCCUUUGAAACUGUUAGACUUGAGGAUAGGAGAGGAAAGUGGAAUUCCCGCGUGUAGUGGUGAAAUGCGUAGAGAUCGGGAAGAAUACCAAUGGCGAAAGCAGCUUUCUGGCCUAUUCCUGACGCUGAGGUACGAAAGCUAGGGUAGCAAACGGGAUUAGAUACCCCGGUAGUCCUAGCUGUAAACGCUGGACACUGAGUGUUGGGGGUUAAACUCCCUCAGUGCUGCAGUUAACGCGUUAAGUGUCCCGCCUGGGGACUACGACCGCAAGGUUGAAACUCAAAGGAAUUGACGGGGGCCCGCACAAGCGGCGGAGCAUGUGGUUUAAUUCGAUGCAACGCGAAGAACCUUACCAGGGCUUGACAUCCCGUGACCAUUUGUGAAAACAAAGUUUGGCUCUUUGAGUCACACGGAGACAGGUGGUGCAUGGCUGUCGUCAGCUCGUGUCGUGAGAUGUUGGGUUAAGUCCCGCAACGAGCGUAACCCCUGUCCUUAGUUGCCAGCACGUUAUGGUGGGGACUCUAAGGAGACUGCCGGAGGAGCAAUCCGGAGGAAGGUGGGGAUGACGUCAAGUCAUCAUGCCCCUUAUGUCCUGGGCUACACACGUGCUACAAUGGUCUGUACAGAGAGUGGCGAAGCCGCAAGGUGUAGCUAAUCUCAGAAAGCAGAUCUCAGUUCGGAUUGCAAAUUGCAACCCAUUUGCAUGAAGCUGGAGUCGCUAGU